AAAAUACUCCCUCUGUUUGGAAUUACUUGUCACAGAAAUGGAUGUAUCUAGACGUAUUUUAGUUCUAGAUACAUCCAUUUCUGAGACAAGUAAUUCCGAACGGAGGGAGUAUAAG
rnacentral:pre_miRNA from 1 species